CCAUGGGUUUGGAUUUAUGGCAAGCCCAUUGCCCUGGGCCUCUCAUAGUGCCCCAUGCCAGAGCAAACUAUGGCCCCAAAUCAUUGCCUGGCCUCUGUCCAUAGGUUGUUGGCAUUGAAGCAGGUUGAACAGUA
ensembl:snoRNA